CACUCCUACGGGAGGCAGCAGUGGGGAAUUUUGGACAAUGGGCGAAAGCCUGAUCCAGCAAUGCCGCGUGAGUGAAGAAGGCCUUCGGGUUGUAAAGCUCUUUUGUCAGGGAAGAAACGGUGAGAGCUAAUAUCUCUUGCUAAUGACGGUACCUGAAGAAUAAGCACCGGCUAACUACGUGCCAGCAGCCGCGGUAAUACGUAGGGUGCAAGCGUUAAUCGGAAUUACUGGGCGUAAAGCGUGCGCAGGCGGUUUUGUAAGUCUGAUGUGAAAUCCCCGGGCUCAACCUGGGAAUUGCAUUGGAGACUGCAAGGCUAGAAUCUGGCAGAGGGGGGUAGAAUUCCACGUGUAGCAGUGAAAUGCGUAGAUAUGUGGAGGAACACCGAUGGCGAAGGCAGCCCCCUGGGUCAAGAUUGACGCUCAUGCACGAAAGCGUGGGGAGCAAACAGGAUUAGAAACCCCGGUAGUCCCA
rnacentral:rRNA from 1 species